GACGUGGACGAGGGUGCGGUGGUGAAG
rnacentral:SRP_RNA from 1 species